rnacentral:lncRNA from 10 species
GAAAAGAAGGAAGAAAAGGGAGGGAGAAAGGAAGGGAGGGAGGAGGGAAGGAAGAAUAAGAGGAAAGAAAGAAAGAAGGAAAGAAGGAAGGAGAAAAAAGAAAAGAAAGAAAGGAAAAGGCUAUUUUCUUUUUGAAGGUAAAAAUCACAUAAUAUAAAAUUAAUAACAACCAUUUUAAAGCAUACAAUGCACUUGCUUUUAGUAUAUUCACAAUGUUCCAGGGCAAUUUCAUCAUGUCCCUUCCAAAAACCCAUUAUGCAUAAAGUUGUUACACCCUAUUCUGCUUCCCUGAGCCCUAACGACCACUAAUCUAAUUUAUAUCCCAAUUGAUUUGCCAAUUCCUGAUGUUUCAUGUGAAUAAAAUCAAGUAAUAUUUGUCCUUUUGUGCACUUAACAUAAUGCUUUCAAAUUUCACCCAUAUUAUAACAUAUAUAAGUACUUCAUUCUUUGUUAUAGCUGAAAAUUGGGUGUCCAUUUAUGAGUCAACAAGCGUAUGGAUUGUUUCCACUUUUUGACUGUAUGAAUAUUAC